CCACAUGAUAAACCUUUUGGAAUCUCGUAUGUCUGAAUUCCUGUUGAUGUUAAAUGACCUGACACCC
rnacentral:snoRNA from 1 species